rnacentral:rRNA from 1 species
UUUCCAAAAACAUCGCCUUUUGAAUAAUAUAAAAGGUAAUGCCUGCCCAGUGACCAUGUGUUCAACGGCCGCGGUAUUCUGACCGCGCGAAGGUAGCGUAAUCACUUGUUUUUUAAAUAAAGACUAGUAUGAACGGCCGCACGAGGACCUAACUGUCUCCUUUGUCCAAUCAGUGAAACUGAUCUCCUCGUGCAGAAGCGAGGAUUUUACCAUAAGACGAGAAGACCCUAUGGAGCUUUAAACUUUUACUAAUUAUUUUCUUUACCUCUCUAAGGAUCUAACAACCAAUUUAAUUUAUUUAAUAAAAGUUUUGGGUUGGGGCGACCAUGGAGGAAAGAAAAUCCUCCCUGAUGAUACCUAACUAAGAGCUACAGCUCUAAGUAUUAAGACUCUUAACUCCUAUUGACCCAUUUUAUGAUCAACGAACCAAGUUACCCUAGGGAUAACAGCGCAAUCCAUUUCAAGAGUCCCUAUCGACAAAUGGGUUUACGACCUCGAUGUUGGAUCAGGGCAUCCAAGUGGUGCAACCGCUACUAAAGGUUCGUUUGUUCAACGAUUAAAGCCCUACGUGAUCUGAGUCC